rnacentral:tRNA from 1 species
AGUUCCAUAGCUCAGCUGGUUAGAGCGCAGUGCUAAUAUUUGAUAACGCUGAUGUCGCGAGUUCGAUCCUCGUUGGGACUA